rnacentral:rRNA from 1 species
GAUGAACGCUGGCGGCGUGCCUAAUACAUGCAAGUCGAGCGAACAGACGAGGAGCUUGCUCCUCUGACGUUAGCGGCGGACGGGUGAGUAACACGUGGAUAACCUACCUAUAAGACUGGGAUAACUUCGGGAAACCGGAGCUAAUACCGGAUAAUAUAUUGAACCGCAUGGUUCAAUAGUGAAAGACGGUUUUGCUGUCACUUAUAGAUGGAUCCGCGCUGCAUGAGCUAGUUGGUAAGGUAACGGCUUACCAAGGCAACGAUGCGUAACCGACCUGAGAGGGUGAUAGGCCACACUGGAACUGGGACACGGUCCAGACUCCUACGGGAGGCAGCAGUAGGGAAUCUUCCGCAAUGGGCGAAAGCUUGACGGAGCAACGCCGCGUGAGUGAUAGAGGUCUUCGGAUCGUAAAACUCUGUUAUUAGGGAAGAACAAAUGUGUAAGUAACUAUGCCCGGCUUGACGGUACCUAAUCAGAAAGCCACGGCUAACUACGUG